rnacentral:tRNA from 1 species
ACCUGGAUGGCUCAGUUGGUGGAGUGUGUAAUUCUUGAUUUCAGGGUUGUGAGUUCGAGCCCCAUGCUGGGUG